rnacentral:misc_RNA from 1 species
GGCAGAAAUGCGACGAGUUGAGGAAACACAUUGGGCAUGGUCACGCAUUAUUGGCACUCCAAGCAGCUGCUGCAUGACCAAUUAUUGGACCACAGUGGCAUCAUGAAAGGAGGGGAAAACGAUACGACAUUACAAAUGAACUUAUCAGAGCAACAAACACAUGCAAAUAUUGUACAGCUAACAAAGGAGAGACGGCAAGAUUCAUAACUCCG